UACGGGGGGGGCAAGCGUUGUUCGGAAUUACUGGGCGUAAAGGGCUCGUAGGCGGCCAACUAAGUCAGACGUGAAAUCCCUCGGCUCAACCGGGGAACUGCGUCUGAGACUGGAUGGCUUGAAUCCGGGAGAGGGAUGUGGAAUUCCAGGUGUAGCGGUGAAAUGCGUAGAUAUCUGGAGGAACACCGGUGGCGAAGGCGGCAUCCUGGACCGGUAUUGACGCUGAGGAGCGAAAGCCAGGGGAGCAAACGGG
rnacentral:rRNA from 1 species